UACGUAGGGUGCAAGCGUUGUUCGGAAUCAUUGGGCGUAAAGCGCGUGUAGGCGGCUAUUUAAGUCGGGUGUGAAAUCCCUCGGCUCAACCGAGGAAGUGCAUUCGAAACUGGAUAGCUCGAAGAUGGUAGGGGAAGGUGGAAUUCCAAGUGUAGAGGUGAAAUUCGUAGAUAUUUGGAGGAAUACCGGUGGCGAAGGCGGCCUUCUGGGCCACUCUUGACGCUGAGACGCGAAAGCGUGGGUAGCAAACAGG
rnacentral:rRNA from 1 species